AUAUAUAUUGCUAUCACCUAAGUAGUUUUUCUUGCUUAGCAUAAGUUGUUGGUGCACAUAGGUGAGCCUAGUUGUUGUAGGUUUUGUGCUUGACAAAUUAACUGCUAGGUUUCUUCCGCAUUUGUUCAAGCCUAAACCGUAAUUAUUUUAAAGCGCCUAUUCAACCCCCCCCCCCCUCUAGGCGACAUCCACGAUCUUUCAGCAUAUAUCUUCAGUAUUUUGUCAGUUUCCUUAACCUAGUACGUCUAAUACCAUUUUUUGCCUGCCCAAGUAAAGUGCUAACAUCAUGAAAAUAUAAGAGUGUCUUUCUGUUUGCCUUUCUGUUUUAACUGAUCUUUUGUGUUGUGUAUGUCAAAUCCCAACAGUUGUCGACAGAGGCAUAUCACAUGCCUGGGUUUGGCUGUAAGCAUGUUAUUUGCGGAAUGGAAUACUGUUUUACUUACAUGGAGUGGAAGAGAUGGCUGGUUUUGAUGUUAUUUUUUAUUGACUGAAUACAGAUUUGUUCUGUUUUUUAGACUUCAGACAUGAAGUAGUGGGCACGCCUCCUCUGACAUAGUUUGUUAUACUUCUUAUUAGUAUUAUUCAGUAUACUUCUUAUUAGUAUUAUUCAGUAUUAUUCAGAGUAAAGAGCCCGUUGAGCCAACAGGGGGUUGUUUGCAACACCUAACAAACGAAUGUCAGUACGCAUAUAUGUUGAUUUUUGGGUUUGUUGUUUUGUUUGAAGUGAGCAACAACCAAAUCAUAUAGUGUGUUUUCUAAGCUAGCUUCCUAAAGUGAUUACUUCAGCCUAGCUUGUGGUUGUUGUUUCUUAUCCGAAACAUUUUUUUGUGCUAGGGGGUGGGGGUGGGGAUGGCAGAGGUGUUUAGUUGAUGAACAAUGAUGAUAUGCAGUUUGUUGAGUAUUUAAUUUUUCAGAGCUGACUCUGUAAUUUAAGUCACUGUAAAUUGAUUUUGUAAGUUUUCAGAGUUGACUCUGUAAAUCAAGCCAGCAAACUGUUAUCUGCCCGUCAAACAAAUCCCAGUCCUUUUUUGUGUCUAACAUCAUUGUUCGUGCCCGAUAAACUAAUAUUUUUUUAGAGCAUACAUCAUGUGUUUUUCAGUUUUUCUAUUUUGUUCAGAGAGCAUGCAUUUUUAUAUUCAGAGAGUGCGUCUAACCAGUUAGUAUUCAGAGAGGAUCAUGUUUUUUUUAUUUUUUAUUUCCUCAAGCUAUUUAUGUCUAAUGCUUUUGCCUGCCCAACUAUAAGUGCACCAUCAGUGCAACAUAUAGAGACCAGUAACUCUACAGAAUCAUUUCAGCCAGCUGACAAACGAGGAGGAUCAGUCAAUGUUCAGAUAGUUUGAAACAUGAUUUUCAGUAAUAUUCAGUAAUCUGUUUUUUUAUCAGAGAGUUGACCAUCAGUCAAUGUUCAGAGUUUUUCAACUCAUGAGUAAAUGCUUAGAGAGGAUGACUUGAUCUUUUUUCCUUUCCUAGUAGUAAUCUCAGCUUUGUAAAUAGUCAAUGUUCUGGUUUAAUUAGUACUGUAGUUUUUCUCAAUGUACACAUAACUUUUUUUUAACUUAGGUUCUUUUUUUGUGUUUUUUUUUAAACAUGAGCUUUUAAACAAAGAUACAAUUCCAGAGCCUUUGGAGUCAAACAACAACAGUCAAAAUGAUGGUUCAGGGGAUGAUAGCAUGGAUGAGCAAGAGGAGCAAAGUAUAGUCGAUAUGACAGAAUCAGAUGCAUCAGACGGCAUGCUGAUCGAUGGCCUGAGAACAUUUUUACAGAAAAGACAAGAGAGGAAGCAGGAGAGGAGUGCUUUGAAAGAGAAAAGGAAGAAGAGGACAAGGCCAGAGAAAGGAAAAGCCAAAGGGCACAUGAACAAAGGAAGAGCAACUGCAUACAGCAGGUUUAGCAUUGGAUAUUUCGCGAAGAUUGUUGAUGUUGUGUGCCAAAGCAAUCAUAGGAUGGAGGUUGUGAGGAACGGCGGUUUUGGAUACUUGCUCGAGCUAGAAGAUUGCUAUGUUCCAAGGCCUUUUGCUCGAGUUAGAGUCCUCCAACCAUUUGUAUAUGCCAACUGACGAAGAUAAUGGGUCUGGAAGUACUGUUAGAGUUGAUUCCAAUGGGAUUGAGAUAAACAGUGGCGUGUUUUUGAAUCAUUUUUUUCAUUCUUUUUCUUCUAAUUCUUUGCUUGUUUUUUAAUUUACAUGACAACCCCCCUAUAUUGUUGACAGAUGGAAGAGGCAGGAAGAAGAGAAUGAAGACUAGUACACAGCAGUCAGAAACUUCAACAACUAAGGACAAUAUAUUGGAAGUUAAAAUAAAGGAAAGCAGACUUGAAGCAGCUGUGGAAGGAGGGGAAGCUGAAAUGCAGUCAGUACCGGGCAAUGGUCACACGAAAGAGCUCGAAAAAGAAGCUUUAAUGGAACAAACCAUGCAGAAUAGCAACGUCGCAACACAGCAACCAGAGAUGAAUAUGCUUGAUGCAGAUACCAAUUUUCCCAAGUGCAAUGCUAGUGAUUGUUCGACUCAAAAAGAAGCACCUGAAAAGAGCACUAGCCUGAACUACAUGUUGUUAUCAGCUAGAUUGGCAAGAGCACUUGAAAC